AACUUUUAGCAACGGAUCUCUUGGUUCUCGCAUCGAUGAAGAACGCUGCGAAAUGCGAUAAAUAGUGUGAAUUGCAGAAUUCAGUGAAUCAUCGAAUCUUUGAACGCACAUUGCGCCUUUCGGUAUUCCGGAGGGCAUGCCUGUUCGAGAGUCAUUAACAACCAGUUCAAUGCCUUUUUGAAAAAUAUUUUGGGGAUUGGUUAUUGGUGAAUGAGGGGAUGCGUGCAUCACGUUGAAUCACCUCACCACCGAAAUUCAGAGGCGGUUUGUCCCCACGUGUUUUGUGGUGUUGUAAAGGCUUACCAGCACUAUUCGCUCGCAUCGUGGGUGCACUGCUUGCCAUUGGAGAAAUCCCCAUUCAUCAAAGGUUGACCUCGGAUCAGGUAGGGAUACCCGCUGAACUUAAGCAUAUCAAUAAGCGGAGGCU
rnacentral:misc_RNA from 1 species